UACGUAGGCAGCAAGCGUUGUUCGGAAUUACUGGGCGUAAAGAGUGUGUAGGCGGUGCUCUAAGUCUGUUGUGAAAGUCUCCCGGCUUAACUGGGAGGGUGCGGCGGAAACUGGAGUGCUCGAGGGUGGGAGAGGUAAGCGGAAUUCCUGGUGUAGCGGUGAAAUGCGUAGAUAUCAGGAGGAACACCUGUGGUGUAGACAGCUUACUGGACCACUUCUGACGCUGAGACACGAAAGCGUGGGUAGCAAACAGG
rnacentral:rRNA from 1 species